UCUUAUUGAAGGUGACAUGGCAUUAACUUGUACAGAACCGGAGGACAACCAAAAGCCCUUGCAGAGCAUAAAAAAACCCCAAAAGAACUGCAAAAAAUUUCGGAUAGGGUUUAAAUGGGAAAUUUUGAUGCCAGACAGCUUCUUAAAGACAAGAAGUUUUGGUUCGCUUCUUUUCUGAUUGGCUGGGCUGCUGCCCUCCAGGGGCAUAUGAUGUGGUUACAGAAACAAGAUUCGUUCCAGAAAAAGUUCGGUACAGUCAGUCAAGGCAAUGAUAUUGAUGAACAAGCAUGACCCUGACAAAGAAUGUUAGCUGGAAGAAUCAGUUUUUGUAUCUAUAGAAACAGAGAAAUGGAAAUUGUUAAAAUUUUCAAUUUUUACUUGGUGGUUUUGCUUGUACUUUUUAUCAUAAAUAAUAAUAACACUGGUUGUACUUUGUAUUUUGAGGUUUGAUUAGAUUUACUGAAAUGUGACGACAUUCUAAUAAUAAAUUGCUAGUUUUGAGACUUCUGAAAUACAUUGUUGCUUGAAUAUAUUUGUUUUAGUUUAUUGAAGUUUGUCAACUGUCAUUUUAAUAAUCUUUGUUAGUUAUCUUGCCAAAUUGUUUAAAUUGUUAGGCUAAGAGGUGUCAAUAUUCUAUUCUAGAGUUCAUUUUCAAGUUAAUUGAAGCUCCUUAGGUGUUAUGUUAAUUAUUUUUUUGUUAGUUUUUAUGCCAAAUUGGUCAAAUGUUUAGGCUAAGAGAUCUUUGAUUUUUGUUUACAUGGAAAAAAAUUUUCUGCAUGUUUUUCAUUUUUCAUGGCAUUAGAAUUUGUUAUUUGUAAAUUGCAAUCUAUACUUUGCAGAGUAAUCAAUGUUUCUUAAAGCAAAAUUUGCAAAUCUGAAACACAUUAACAACUACUUGACUCAGAAAGAGUAGGAUAAGGUUUCAGUUACAUUGACAUUGAAUAACCUCAUUCCAGAAUACAAUUUUGUUUGAACAUUUUGUUGAUUGUGCAUGUGUUUAAUGCCUUACCCUGACUGAAUGCUACAAUCAAAUACACAGCUUUAAUUUGUUUGAGAAGGGGGGCUGUUUAUAAUUAAGAGUUUGGUUGAUUUCAGGUCAUUCUUUAUUGGUUGAUAAUGUUGAAAUGCUGGAGAAGUCCAGAUGUGUAUGGUAAAUCAAGAUUUUAGUUGAUGUUGUUCGUGCAUUAAUGUGACUGUGAAGAUUAAAAGAUGAAGCCCGUACUUUAAUACUUUUGGCUGCAUCUCCUCUAGCUUUCAUCCUUUUGUUAGUUGCAAUGAACCAAAAUGUUAGAAAGCAUGAGUUUGACUCCUGAAACUGACAUUCAACUGGAUUGGCACUCACUCUUUAAUGGGAUAUGAAUCUAUUGUGGGCUGGGUUGAAGGCUGCAUUGAGAAGGAGCUACAAGCUACUACGUGUUGGGAUUCUAGGCUCAGUUUUAUUAUCAGACGACCUAUUGAAGAAGUAGCAAAUGGCAAUAGGGGGACCUUAAAGGUGGAAUUCUCACUACCAAAAUAUCUUCACAGUGGUGUUUAUUUAGGUUGACUGAAGCAAAAAUUUUAUAGUUGUGGCUUAGUGUUUGAUUUCGUGAUGAACUGCAUAUCUAAUAUGACAGUAUGAUCUAAUUCUAAUUCUUUCAAAUUUCUCAUCA